rnacentral:rRNA from 1 species
AAGGUAGUGUAGUUAACACCUGCAUUAUUUGACGUUACCUACAGAAGAAGCACCGGCUAACUCCGUGCCAGCAGCCGCGGUAAUACGGAGGGUGCGAGCGUUAAUCGGAAUUAACUGGGCGUAAAGCGCAUGCAGGCGGCCUGUUAAGUACAGAUGUGAAAGACCCGGGGCGUUAACCUCGGAAUUAGCAUUUGAAACUGGCAGGCUAGAGUCUUGUAGAGGGGGUAGGAAUUUCAGGUGUAGCGGUGAAAUGCGUAGAGAUCUGAAGGAAUACCAGUGGCGAAGGCGGCCCCCUGGACAAAGACUGACGCUCAGAUGCGAAAGCGUGGGGAGCAAACAGGAUUAGAUACCCUGGUAG